rnacentral:lncRNA from 10 species
CCUCUCUGCACAGCAGCGGAAGCCGGAGCUCCUGCUUUCACUGUCUGGGUGAAAGCCUCAGCACUGCAGGGCUGGCAGGAAACAGGAAAGAGGCUAGCAUUCUCCUUGCAUCUGAGGGCAACGGCAGGACUUAGUGUCUGGGCUGAGAACUCAUUAAGUCAGUACGGGAACUGGCAGGCACAUUUGAGGUGAGAGCAAAGGCUCAGGCGACCUCCACAUUCAGUGUUAGAGUCUGUAACCCAUCUCUCUGGGACAUCAGCAGGCCAGCUCCAGACAGGGCCAGAUGGGAGUCACAGGCUGGGAAGAAAGGGGCUCAAGGAGUGCACCAGAGUGAGGGAGAGAACACCAUUAGACCGUGACUGUAAUCUUGUAGAUUCUUAAGAGCAACAGGCUCUUUCACGGCCUUGCAGGCAGACCAACAGACAAUCCACUGCAGUCCUUCCAGCAUGAUGGCAGAGCUUCUCACACAUUUUCAGCGAUGCUCUUUGUGGAAAUGUCAGCCUCUCAGCUCUGCUCAAGAAAACCCAGGAACAGAGAGAGCCGGCUCAGAUCUGCGCCAAGUGUUUGAGAGGCAGCAGCGCCCCCAAGGGGCCAGCAAGGUGGGGCAGCGGCGGGAGUGCUGAGCUCCGGAGGGGAGCUCUCCUUUCUUCAACAGGCAUUUAUUGAGCACCUGCUGUAUGUGGUCCAGGCAGCAGCGGGAGAAGGGGAAAGUGGAAAACCAGACAAGGCCGUAUAAUGAGGGACUUAGGACUUCUGGAAUUUUAAUGAGCUGGUUUGCCCCUUUAUUUCCUUUCAGACUUCCUGUUGAUUCAAGUCAUCAAAAUGAAAGAAUGCCAGCGUCCAAACACACAUCUGGAAACAGAGCAAUAAGGUUUUUAAUAUUUUGUUUCCUAAUACAGAAACUCCUUUGAGAUGCUAUCAAAUAAGGUGGGCAUAACACAUUCAUUUGAUUUCUUUUCCCUGCAAACGGGAUCAUUAAGGCAUCCAAAUUAACUGGGUGUAAUCAUGAAUUAAAUCGAGCUCUUUUAUUAGGGAAACUUAGAGGCAUCUUUCAUCUUAAUAUCCUGACAGGAUUCUCCUGACUUGAAGGUAUGAUUAGGGGAAAGGUGGCAAAAAAAAAGGAAAAUAAAAUAAAAUAAAGAAGAAAAAACCCUCUGCAGCUCAACCAUGAGUGGAAUUGGUAAUAAAACACUAGUUCCCCAGUGAACUCACCACCUUUCCACUCCUCCUCAACUGGGUUCAUUAUUUUAUUUCUCUACUUGAUAGGUUGAAAAAUUGCCUGCAAACUGGUUAAUUAGGACUAACAGUGCUUAGUAACUGGGGAGACAAUUGCAGUUUGAGAAAUUAAUGCUCAUGAUUCAUCUAUUAAAGUGCAUCUAGACACAUGGUUUGCCUCAUGGUAGUGUCAAUCCAGCCAUCUGUGCCUGUGGCCAGGGUAACUGAGCACUUCUCAGUCUGAGUUUGGGUGUAGUGGUGGUAAGAAACAGAAUCCACUUUGCAAAAAAAGGGGGGGAGUUUCUUAUAAGGACACAAAGGUAAUUCCAUAUGGGACAUCUGGGGAUGGAAUAUGCUAUGGACUGAAUGUUUGUGACUGCCCCCUGCCAGCCCUCCACUAAGUUCACGUGUUCAAGCCUAACCUCUAAUGUGAUGGUAUUAGGUUGGUGCAAAAGUAAUAGCGGUUUUUGCCAUUACCUUUAAUGGCAAAUUAAAUGGCCAUUGCUUUUAAUGGCAAAAACUCCAAUUACAUUUGAACCAAUCUAAUAUUAGGAGGUGGGGCCUUUGGGAUGUAAUUAGGAUUAAAUGCAGUCACGAAGAUGGAACCCUCAUGAAGAGGAGCAGUGGCCUUAUAGAAGGGAAUCCAGCGACCCCCACCCCCCGCCUUGCUUCGUCCCCCAUGUAAGGACACAACAACAAAAAACCCAGCCAAAUAUGAACCAGGAAGCAGGCUGUCACCAGACACCAAACCUGUCAAUGCUUUGAUCUUGGAUUUCCCAGCCUCCAGGACUGUGAGAAAUACAUUUCUGUUGUUUGUAAGCCAACCAGUCUAUGGUAUUUCAUUAUGGCAAC